UCCUCCCUCUGUCGGCGUGCUUAACACAUGCAAGUCGAACGGUGAAGCGCCUUCCUUUUUGGUGGGUGUGGAUGAGUGGCGAACGGGUGAGUAACACGUGAGUAACCUGCCCCCUUCUUCUGGAUAACCGCAUGAAAGUGUGGCUAAUACGGGAUAUUCUGGGUCUGUCGCAUGAUGGGUCUGGGAAAGAUAUUGUUUCGGUGGGGGAUGGGCUCGCGGCCUAUCAGCUUGUUGGUGGGGUGAUGGCCUACCAAGGCGGUGACGGGUAGCCGGCCUGAGAGGGUGGACGGUCACACUGGGACUGAGACACGGCCCAGACUCCUACGGGAGGCAGCAGUGGGGAAUAUUGCACAAUGGGCGCAAGCCUGAUGCAGCGACGCCGCGUGAGGGAUGGAGGCCUGCGGGUUGUGAACCUCUUUCGCCAGUGAAGCAGGCCUGCCUCGUUUGUGGGUGGGUUGACGGUAGCUGGAUAAGAAGCGCCGGCUAACUACGUG
rnacentral:rRNA from 1 species